rnacentral:lncRNA from 1 species
AAAAGAGUUAUUUUUGAUUCGCCGCGUGUAAUCCAAAUUUCUUACGGCUAUCACUAUGUGCCUUCCUCUUCAUCUUUUCAACUCCACUGUCGACUUCUAUUGCAAUUGAUUACUUCACUUCUUCCAUAGUUCGUCUUGCCCACAAGUUUGAUCGGUGAGUGCUUUGCUUCUCUGUGCUCUGUAUAAUUGUGGAUUUUCUGUUUUCCUCUUCGCGGUCUAGGUUCAGUGUAUUUCUUGUAUGUGUCUCUUUUGUUGUUACCUCCAACUAUUUGUCAAAAUUCCUCAUUGAAUCUGAUGUGUAAUUUUCGCAGAGCCUAAGAUUUUUUACCCACCAAGUGUUCGUCAAAAUUCCUCAUUGAAUUUUAUUUGUAAUUUUGGCGGAGCUUAAGAAGGUCUUGCAGCUUGGAAUGUCAAGUAUACACGCAAUAACUGAAUUGAGUCUUAUUCGAAACGAUAUAACUACUUGUUGAAGCUGUGAAUUCGAAGUAGUUAACGGCUUUAGUUGUGAUUUUAAUUACAGAAGGACUACCUUUUAAAUUUUUGGACUAUUGUUGUUAGACUUAUUAUGUUAUUAUGUGAUUUAGUGGUUGUUACUGCCAUUGUUUAUGUGAUCGGG